rnacentral:lncRNA from 1 species
UUUUUUUUUUGAGAAAUAGAUAACACGCUACCUGCUUCGUUUAUUUCAUUUAGAAAUAAACUUAGCUGGAAAUAUGAAUCAACUAGAAUUCGAACUUAGAACCUCGGGUACCAACUACCAGAUCUUUUGCCACUUGCUCUAAGGACAAUCGGUCUCACCACCAUUUUUUUAUAUUAAUUAAUUAAUGAAAAAGCUACUUUGACUAUUUAUUUUUGUUAAUCUUUUUUUUUCGUCAUUAUCUCAGAUUGAGGUCUAUUAUCUCACUCUGUAACUUAAUUCAUAUUUUUAAUAAAUAAAGCGAAUAAUAUGUUUUUUUUUUCUUACAAAAUAAGUUAUUGACGAGAUGGCCGACUGCUAAUACAUA